rnacentral:rRNA from 1 species
CACGUAGGGCGCAAGCGUUGUCCGGAAUUAUUGGGCGUAAAGAGCUCGUAGGCGGUCCGUCACGUCCGCUGUGAAAACCCAGGGCUCAACCCUGGGCUUGCAGUGGAUACGGGCAGACUAGAGGUAGGUAGGGGAGAAUGGAAUUCCCGGUGUAGCGGUGAAAUGCGCAGAUAUCGGGAGGAACACCGGUGGCGAAGGCGGAUCUCUGGGCCUUACCUGACGCUCAGGCGCGAAAGCUAGGGGAGCGAACAGG